rnacentral:rRNA from 1 species
GGGCGUUAUUGGUUUAAAUUUUUUUUUGUUGUUAGUUAAUUUAUUAGGCAAAUUAUUGUUUUGUUAUUGUAUUCUUAUUGAUUUAAUUUUUUAUUUAUAGUUCAUUUGUACUGUGGGGGGACACUUAAUUUGUUUCUAUAAGUUGGCUUUAUUUGUUGUACCUUGUGUAUCAGGGUUUACUAAUUAUUAUUAUUUAUUUUUAUUUCCCGAUUUCGGAGGAGCUAGGAAUUUGUUUUAGUUACUGUUUCAUUAGUAUUAAUAACAUUUAUUUGGUGGUGAUAUGUUAGCCGUUUCCGGGGAUAUCUGGUUUCUCAAGAAAUGAAUUUAAUUCACACUUUGUAUUUAAUUUUUAUUUUUGUUUAUUUGGGUUUAAUACGUGGUGAAGGUGUUGGGGGAUAAGCUUUGAUUCUUUUUUAUAAUAUUUUUUCUUGAUUUGUCUAGUGGGCUUUAUGAUGGCCAUCUUUAUGAGUAUUUUAAAAUUCUACUUUUUGUGGUUGUGAUUUUCUUUCUAUUUAAUUUUUUUAUUGGGAUUUUUAAUUUAAUUUUUUAUUUGUAGUAUUUUUGGUUGAAUUAGUAUAUUUGCUUUAUUUUGUUUUAGUGUUUUUUGAGUCUUUCAAAGGAAUUAGGCAAAAUUUAAAUGUUCGCCUGUUUAACAAAAACAUCUCUUCCUGUUUAGUUGAUUUGAAGUAUGGCCUGCCCGCUGAUAAUAUUGAAGGGCCGCGGUAUCUUGACCGUGCAAAGGUAGCAUAAUCAUUAGUUCUUUAAUUGUGAACUGGUAUGAAUGGUUUGACGAGGCAUUAGCUGUCUUUGUUUUGGAUUUAUUGAAUUUGUUGUUUGGGUAAAAAUACCUAAAUUUUUUUGUGGGACGAGAAGACCCUAUAGAGUUUUAUAUAAUGUGUUCUUUUUAGUUUGUUAUAUUUUGUGAAUUAUUUAUAUUUUGUUGGGGUGAUGGGAAGAUAAAAGUAACUCUUCUUUUAUAUUUUCACUUGUUUGUGUUUUUAUGAUCCUUUAUUAUUGAUUAUAAGAUCAAAUUACCUUAGGGAUAACAGCAUAAUCUUUUUUGAGAGUUCUUAUUGACAAAAGGGUUUGUGACCUCGAUGUUGGAUUAAGAUGAAUUUUUGGUGUAGAGGCUUUAAAAAUUAGUUUAAUUAGGUCUGUUCGACCUUUAAAAUCUUACAUGAUCUGAGUUCAAACCGGCGUGAGCCAGGUUGGUUUCUAUCUAUAAUUUUCUUAUAUUUCUUAGUACGAGAGGACCAGAUAUUUGAAAUAAUUUUCUUUGAUUGAAUAUCCAUUAAUUU